rnacentral:misc_RNA from 3 species
CAAAAUAAUCCCGGUGCUUCGGCGCUGACUUAUUUACACCCUUUGCCUAUGUGUACCCCUAUCGCUUCCUCGGCAGGCUUGCCUGCCGCCAGGAACCAACCAAACCCUUUGCAUUAUAUACAAAAACUUCUGACAACAAACUAAAUAAUCA